rnacentral:rRNA from 1 species
GACGAACGCUGGCGGCGUGCUUAACACAUGCAAGUCGUACGGUAAGGCCCUUUCGGGGGUACACGAGUGGCGAACGGGGGAGUAACACGUGAGUAACCGUCCCACAACUUUGGGAUAACGCUAGGAAACUGGAGCUAAUACUGGAUAUGUGCUCCUUCUUCAUGGUGGGGGUUGGAAAGUUCCGGCGGGUGUGGAUGGACUCUCGGGCUAUCUGCUUGUUGCUGUGGUAGUGGACUACCAAGGCGGCUACGGGUGGCCGGCCUGCGUGGGUGACCGGCGACAUUGGGACUGAGAGACGGCCGAGGCAGCUACGGGAGGCAGCAGUGGGGAAUAUUGAACAAUGGGCGCAGGCCUGGUGCAGCAGCGCCGCGUGCGGGAUGACGGCCUUAGGGUUGAAAACCACUUUCAGAAGGGACGGAGCUUUUUGUGACGGUACCUGCAGAAGAAGCACCGGCUAACUACGUG